rnacentral:lncRNA from 10 species
CCAUUCUCAUUCUCAGCACAACAGACCACACCCAAAAUACUUGAGGAAUUCAGUUUAGGUUGCUUUGUUGCAGGGAAGGUCAUAAGUUGAAGGAUAUUUGGUGGAAAGCAGCCAGGAUGCAGGCAACACUCUGAAGAGAACCACUUUAUAGAAGACACAGGUGGCCAGGAGGCCCAACUUCACAUGGAUGAGUCUUGUUCUCUGAGGUCCCAAAAGUUAGAAUCUAGGCCAGGUGCGGUGGCUCACGCCUGUAAUCUCAGCACUUUGGGGGGCUGAGGGGGGCAGACCAUCUGAGGCCAGGAGCUCAAGUCCCACCUGGCCAACAUGGUGAAACCCCAUCUCUACUAAAAAUAUAAAAAUUAGCCAGGCGCAGUGGCACAUGCCUGUAGUCCCAGCUACUCAGGAGGCUGAGUCAGGAGAAUUGCUUGAACCCGGGAGGCGGAGGUUGCAGUGACCCAAGAUUGUGCCACUGCACUUCAGCCUGUGCGACAGAGCGAGACUCU